UCCGGUUUGUCACCGGCAGUCUCCUUAGAGUGCCCUUGCGUAGCAACUAAGGACAAGGGUUGCGCUCGUUGCGGGACUUAACCCAACAUCUCACGACACGAGCUGACGACAGCCAUGCAGCACCUGUGUCCUCGUCCCCGAAGGGAACUCCAGAUCUCUCUGGAUAGCGAGGCAUGUCAAAAGGUGGUAAGGUUCUGCGCGUUGCUUCGAAUUAAACCACAUGCUCCACUGCUUGUGCGGGCCCCCGUCAAUUCCUUUGAGUUUCAGCCUUGCGGCCGUACUCCCCAGGCGGGGCACUUACAGCGUUAGCGACGGCACCGGGAGGGUCGCUCCCCCCGACGCCUAGUACCCAUCGUUUACGGCGUGGACUAC
rnacentral:misc_RNA from 1 species